CGACUCAAUGUUAGCACGGACAUGGAGGAGCUGCAAUGCACAACGAGCAGAGAAAAUUACCCAAGGGAUCUGCAAGUUCAUUGAGAUGGUUAUGCUGCCCUUCAGUAUUGUUGAGGGCGAAGGUUUUUGAAAACUGAUAAACUUAUUGGAACCAGCAUAUCACAUUCCGUCACGACGUACCAUCACCAGACUGAUAGAAACUCACUACGACGAACGGAAGCAAGAGCUGUUAAAAGAAUUGAGCUCAACUGAAAGUGUUGCUCUAACCACAGACUGCUGGACCGCUUUAACAGCUGAGACCUACAUCCCUAUCACUUGCCACUACAUCAGUGAUGACUGGCAAAUGAACUCAGUGGUCCUGCUCACAGAAAGCCUGCCAGGCCGGCAUACAGCUGACAACCUCACUGAGAAAAUGAAUGAAGCUGUAGAGCAAUGGGGACUUGAAGACCGAGUUAUUGCAUGCGUUCAUGACAAUGCGGCCAAUAUUGUUGCUGCCAACAGUCCCACCAGAGUGAACUGGAUUUCCGUUGCCUGCUUUGCACACACUCCAGUUGGCCAUAAAUGACGGAUUUGCCCUGUAUCUAUAUCGGGUAAUAUCAGCGGCUAGUAAACUUGUUAGCCACUUCAAUCACAACACCGCAGCAACCAAUGCACUGCAAAAGAAACAGGAGCAAAUGGGCCUUGAAACUCACCGGCUUAUUCAUCCGUGUAAAACACGGUGGAACUCUGUGUGUGAGAUGUUUGAUCGGCUGGUGGAGCAGCGGUGGGCUGUUGCUGCUGUGCUUUCAGUUCGAUCCGUGACUAAGCUUCAAGAUGCCAGGAUCCUGGAGUUGAAGGAUGAGUACUGGCAGAUAAUGGAGGACACACAGCCUGUGCUGUCAGCACUUAAAUGUGCAGAGAAAGACGUCUCCAUCUCGAACACUUAUCCCGCUACCUUCGGCCUUAUCAAUAUCCACCUCAUGCGCAGUGAAGAAGACGGGCCCAGACUCAUCGAAUUCAAAGUGUGGUCCUCCCUCAUCAAGCGAAUGAAUAAAAUGGCCGCUAAUGUGAAACUGGUUGAACUGGGAGGCAGUGGAGAUCGGUAGGGCGGCUAUCCCAGAGGCUGGGGGAGACGAGGAGCCUGCGUUGUCUGACACAGACGAGGGCAACGCAAACACUGGAUCGCGGCCUCUCAGUCCCAGGUCUCCGCUAUGACACAACUCCUUGGGGAGCACUAUACCACUCAAUGCAAGUCUGGCAUCGAAGCAGAACUUCAGAACUUUCUGAGGGAGGCCUACUCACCCCUGGAUUGCACCCCUACAGGCUGGUGGAAAGUGAAUGGAAUCAGGUUCCCCCGGCUUGCCAAGUUAGCACGGAGGUACCUGUGCAUCACGGCAACGUCGGUCCCCUCAGAGCGGGUGUUUUCGGCGGCUGGACUGACGGUCACCAGGCUGCGGUCGCAUCUGACCCCAGAGCAUGUUAACAUGCUCAUCUUUCUCAACAAAAAUCAGUAGACUGGUGCUGAAGUUGUAUGUGAGUUACUGGUUAUUUUUUCUGAACCUUGGCUAAUAAGCCUAAUUCAUUGUUAGGUAGGCUAAUCUCUCUCUCACCCUCUUUCUCGACUCUGUGCCUUUUUUGAUAGUUUUGAGUUACAUUUGGCAAAACCUGUCCGAACUUAAUUCAAUUCAAUUCAAUUCAAUUUUAUUUGUAUAGCGCCAAUUCAUAACAGAAGUUAUCUCAGGACACUUUUCAAAUAGAGCAGGUCUAGACCGAACUCUUUAACAUUAUUUACAGAGACCCAACAGUACCACCAUGAGCAAGCACUUGGCGACAAGGGCAAGGAAAAACUGCCUGUUAAUGGCCUGAUCCUCCGGCUCUAGGUGGGUGGUCGUCUGUCUCGACCAGUUGGGGUGAGAGAGAGAGAGAGAGAGAGAGAGAGAGAGAGAGAGAGAGAGAGAGCGACAGACAGACAGACAGGUGCACAGCAACAACAGUAUUGGCAAUGGCAGUCAAGCAGGACCAUGGCAGGAGGCUCCACCAGGAUCCAUGAGAACCUGCGAGACGAGAAAGCACAAGAACUCCGGGGAAGAAGUGGAGUUAGUAACAUGCAUUAAAGGGACAUGAAUGAGUGCAGAAAGAGAGAGGAAGAGAGUAGCUCAGUGCACCAUGGGAAAUCCCCCGAUAGUCUAGGCCUAUAGCAGCAUAACUAAGGGAUGGUUCAGGACUCACCUGAUCCAGCCCUAACUAUAAGCUUUAUCAAAGAGGAAUGUCUUAAGCCUACUCUUGAAUGUGGUGAGGGUGUCUGCCUCCCGAACCACAACUGGAAGCUGGUUCCACAGGAGAGGAGCUUGGUAACUGAAGGCUCUGGCUCCUGUUCUACUUUUAGAGACUAUAGGAACCACAAGUAGCCCAGCAUUCAGAGAACGUAGUGUUCUAGUGGGGUAAUAGGGUACUAUGAGCUCUUUAAGAUAUGAAGGGGCCUGACCAUGAAGAGCUUUAUAGGUGAGGAGGAGUAUUUUAAAUUCAAUUCUACAUUUUAUAGGGAGCCAAUGCAGAGUAGCUAGUACAGGAGAGAUGUGAUCUCUUUUUCUAGUUCCUGUCAGUACUCGUGCUGCAGCGUUCUGAAUUAAUUGGAGCGUUUUAAUGGACUUAUUGGGGCAACCUGAUAAUAAAGAGUUGCAGUAAUCCAGCCUUGAAGUAACAAAUGCAUGGAUUAGUUUUUCUGCAUCUGUCUGUGAUAGUAUGUGUCUAAUUUUUCUAAUAUUACGUAAAUGAAAGAAGGCAGUCCUAGAGGUCUGCUUUAUGUGGGAGUUAAAUGACAAAUCCUGAUCAAAGAUAACUCCAAGAUUCCUGACAGUGGUGCUAGAGGCCAAGUUAAUGCCAUCUAGAGUGACUAUAUCUUUAGACAAUGAGUCUCUAAGGUUUUUGGGGCCAAGAACAAGAAUUUCGGUUUUUCUGAGUUAACAUCAGAAAAUGCAGGUCA
rnacentral:lncRNA from 15 species